UUUUUUGUAAUUUUAUGGCCUGGUAUCUAAGACCUUUAAGCCAAGUCUUUAUUUUUGAUGGUGAUGAGUCAGUUCUUUGUUCACUUCACAGUUCAUAUUUUAAUAUCACUAGUUUCACUAAAGCUGUCUUUAUUUUAAUGGUAAUGCGUUUGUACGGUUUUUUAAGUUGGUUCACUUCACAUUUCACACAUUUAAAACUCACUUUCGUUGCAUACUGUCAAACCGGUGUAACGUCAAACUGAACCAAAAGUGUUUUUAACGAACUUAUAAAUUGGUUGAUAAUAGUCCACAUUUUGCAACAACACUUUUAGGCGGCGGGAGGGGUCGUCUGUGACUUCAAGCACUUCCUUUUCAGUUACCUCAGUGGCCAGAAUGAGACGAGCCAUGGAAUAUGCUGGACACGAAAAGACUAUAUGUUGUACAUCACAGAUGUUACCACAGUUGGUGCAUUUGUCAUCACCAAUGAUCCCAAGUUUGGCUAGGUGUGCAGGUGUUUUAGUGUGACCAAAACGGAGGCGGUUUAAAGUUGUGAUGAAGUCGCGACUUGCUGUUCUUAACUUGUGGUACCAUGGCUUAACUGCAAAAUGCGAGACAGUUCGGGAGGAUGGCCAUUGAGAAGAUCAGCACCUGUUGUUAGAGGCUCCCUACAGUUUAAUUCGCAAGGUCAGAUAUGAGAGAAAGGAAGCUGUCUGCGCAGCUCCUACCCUUCCUGAAGCCAUAUUGCACAUGAGGAAUGAUGCCGUUAGAUUCAACAAACCAGUCAAGUCGACACUUAAUAAUAUUUUCAAAUAUUUUGCCUAUACAUGAAGACAAGGAUAUAGGUCGAUAUGAAUCGGCGUUAUUUGGAGGUUUACCAGGCUUAAGGACUGGGAUCACACAUUGCGUUUUCCAAGACUGCGGAAUUAUUUGUUUCGACCAUAAUGCAUUGAAGAUGGCUAAUAAAAUAUCUAGUACUGUUGAA